CAACACUCUCUGAAAAAUAUCCCAAGGGGAGUAGACAAAAAAGAAUGGGAAUGGUUAGUAAAGGAACAUUUUAAUUCUUAAAGUUUUCAGGCAAGAAGCAUCAGGAAUGCAACAAACCGAUCUAAGUUGAAGAUGCUUCAUCAUAUUGGUAGCAAACCUAUUCGAGAGAUUAUUUAUCAAAAGGCUCAACUUGAGGAAAUAGUUCAAGAAGAUCCAUCUCUAUCUAGUAUAGAGAAUGUUGAAAAAUGUUGUGGACCACAAACUCGUAGCCAUGUAUUUGGAUUUGGGGGUGGAGUAAAGGCAAAA